AGUCACUGACAUUAGAUACCCCCGUAGUCCCAGCCGUAAACAAUGUGCGUUAGGUAUGUCGGUAACCACGUGUUACUGAUGUGCCGAAGAGAAAUCGUGAAACGCACCACCUGGGAAGUACGGUCGCAAGGCUGAAACUUAAAGGAAUUGGCGGGGAGCACCACAACGGGUGGAGCCUGCGGUUUAAUUGGACUCAACGCCGGGAAGCUCACCGGAUAAGACAGCGGAAUGAUUGCCGGGCUGAAGACCCUGCAUGACCAGCUG
rnacentral:rRNA from 1 species